rnacentral:rRNA from 1 species
UACGAAGGGGGCUAGCGUUGCUCGGAAUCACUGGGCGUAAAGCGCACGUAGGCGGCUUUUUAAGUCAGGGGUGAAAUCCUGGAGCUCAACUCCAGAACUGCCUUUGAUACUGGGAAGCUUGAGUCCGGGAGAGGUGAGUGGAACUCCGAGUGUAGAGGUGAAAUUCGUAGAUAUUCGGAAGAACACCAGUGGCGAAGGCGGCUCAUUGGCCCGGUACUGACGCUGAGGCGCGAAAGCGUGGGGAGCAAACAGG